rnacentral:lncRNA from 1 species
AGAGGUUUGUGGCUGAGGUUCCUUAGGAUUAGAGGAGGUUACAAGAGAGAUCUUGAGCUACUUGUAGUAGAAGCAACCUUAUGUGUGCUGUUUCUGAUGAUUAUUUAACGAAUAUGGGCUUAUAUUGAGUUACUUGUUCUAGUUUCGGAUGACAAAGGAAAAACAAGGUAGUGACUAUCUAUUCAAAAAACUAAAUCAGAAAGAGCCCGUACUCGGGAGUUCGAAUCUCACAAAUGUUAAAACAAGUAGCUUGCCUAUCAUUUUAUCUUUUUAAUAAAAAAAUAUACUAACAUAGGCUUCAAAUGGAGAACGCAGAUCACAAAAUGCAGAUCAAACCAAUAAUGCAGAUCAAACCGAUAAUGAAGAUCAAAUGC